GCUCCUUGGUGCAGUAGCCUAGAGAAGAGAAAGUAUGAAAAUUGUUGCUUUGCAACCAGAAUUUGAACUCACUCCACUGUCUUCUCGACUUCUGCCUUCCAGAUGCCCCUUCUGCUUUCACGCCUCACUUUCUGAGCUUUUACUGCAGACACAGCCUGCCACCAUAGAAACUGAACACUUAAGCCACUUACUCUCCCAUCAACUUUUAUAGCUCGGAUAGAAGAACAUGGCCUGGGCUCAACCAAUCAGACUCUCAAGCUCUGGACUAUAAAGAGAGAGCUGGUGUCAAGAAAUGAAGGAAACCAUUCUUCUUAUGGGUGGCAACAGCUGGGAUGGUAAGAGCCAAUUUCUGGAGCCAAGAGACGCUUCCAAGCAACUUGUGGCGGCCAGUGGCCUGCAACUGAUGCAGAGCUGCUGGGAAGCAUGACUGUGGCUGUGUGUCUAGCUACUGCCUCAUCCCUUGUUCUUGCUUGUUCUGAUUUUGUUUCUCCAUUGCUCCUUUCAAUUUUGUGAGUUUUCCAGUUACCUUUCUGACAUAAGCAUUUAAUGCUACAUAUUUUCUUCUAAGUACAGCUUUAGCUGUACUACAAAUUUUGACCUUUUGAAUCUGUAUUUUUAUCCAAUUCAAGAUGUUUUCCAUUUUCUCUUGUGACUUCCUAUUUGACCCAUGGGUUAUUUAGAACAUAUUGUUUAAUAUCCAAAUAUUAGGGAAUCUUAAAGAUCUCUUUCUGUUAUUGAUUUCUUCUUUAACCCUAUCAUGGUCAGAGGGCAUACCUUGGAAGAUUAAAAUUCUUUUAAUAUUUUUGAGGUACCACUGUUGCUGAGUAAAGCGCUCUCUGAAUGUCAGUUAGGUCAACUUGGUUGACAGUGUUGUUUAGGUUAUCUACAUUCUUAGUAAUUUCCUCUCUACGUUUUCUAUUUGAUUACUGAGAGAGAAGUGCUAAAGCCUCCAACUAUAACUGGAUUUGUCUAUUUACCAUUUCAAUUCUGACAAUUUUUGUUUCAUAUAUUUCGAAGCUACAGCUACCUUGUUGAUGCAAUCACAUUUAGGAUUCUUACGUCUUCUUUAUGAAUUGACCUCUUUAUUAUAAUCUAAUACUCAUUCAUCCCUGGUAAUAAUUUCUUGUUCUUAAGCAC
rnacentral:lncRNA from 1 species